rnacentral:rRNA from 1 species
AUUGAACGCUGGCGGCAGGCCUAACACAUGCAAGUCGAACGAGUGGCGGACGGGUGAGUAAUGUCUGGGAAACUGCCUGAUGGAGGGGGAUAACUACUGGAAACGGUAGCUAAUACCGCAUACCAUCGGAUGUGCCCAGAUGGGAUUAGCUAGUAGGUGGGGUAACGGCUCACCUAGGCGACGAUCCCUAGCUGGUCGGAGAGGAUGACCGGCAAAACUUGAACGGGGACACGGUCAAGACUCCACCGGAAGGCAGCAGGGGGGAAUAUUGCACAAUGGGCGCAAGCUUGAUGCAGCCAUUCCGCGUGUAGGAAGAAGGCCUUCGGGUUUUAAAGUACUUUCAGCGGGGAGGCGUUACCCGCAGAAGAAGCACCGGCUAACUCCGUGCCAGCAGCCGCGGUAAUAC